AGUCACACUUUGCCAGUCAAACGGAGAGGCAGCAGUAGUAAGACCAGACCAAAUCAAACCAAACCAAGCAAACCACGGGGAAUGGAGAUUAUUGCCUGCUCCUCCAAGCCCUUCACUGUAGAAUGGAAGCCUGUGAUUUUCCUGGCAUCAUGCAUGACUGAGAAGGUUGGAUUUCCUAGAAACAGAACCUGAGAGAAGAAUUCAGGUGCAUAUUGAGGGAAUGCUCUUCAGGAAAACCUGUAAAGGGAGGGAAUGAUGCAGGAUAGUGUGAGUGAAGCAGCCGGGCAAGGGUGUGCUUCCAGGGAGGUCUAGCCAUGAGAAAGAAUUUUUCCGGUGCACUAAUUGCAUCUGGAAGCAAGAGGCCCACUCUUUGUACCCUCCUUUCAGUCGUUGGCUGUGUGCUGAGUUCGGGGCAUUGCGACUUCCUGGCUGAGGCAAUGCCCUUGCACUGAGGUCAAUUCUCUUUCGAAUGGGACAGAUGGGAGCCAACAUGCAUAGAAACUGGGAGCAGAAGUGUUGGCCAUGUAAAAGGGACCCAAGACAGGCAACUAAAUGACAUCU
rnacentral:lncRNA from 1 species